ensembl:lncRNA
GCUGCUUGUGGGGGUGAACCGCUACCUGUUUGCUGCCUGGUCUUUUGUUUGGGGUCUCACCCCCUCUAUGGGUGAGCCAGGAGAGGAAAUUCUCUCGGUUUUUGAGAGUUUCGGCUAUCCCUGGAGCACCCAGGCCAGUGUGCUUGCGGCACUGUGCUUUCUGAAUGUCUGCCAGAUCUUGUUUUGGGCCAUGCGGUACUUCUCCAACAAUAGCACCACCCGGAAACCUGCCCCGAGGGCAGAUAGUUAUAAAUGGCAAGGUGUGUGGGAGAAGAUGGGCAAGUGCCUGAGUCAGUGGUCACCUCCAAUGUUUUGGGAUUUCACUCCCGAACAAAUGGAGAGUCCUGAUAAACUGGUGGAGCAUUUGGAAAAGGUGUGCUGCCAAUCUGACAAACCCCGGGAGACACAAAUCCUUGCGAUGUGCUGGGGGCUUGCCCAUGCUUACCGUGUCAUCUUUAACACUGUUCACUGCCCUGAAGGGGGAGAAGGGGCCGCAGAAUCUGAAAGUGAACCUGCUGGUAUAGUAGCUGGGCCAGGGGGACAGGCAGCGCCAGUACCUGUCGCCUCCACCAGCACAGCAGCUGAGCCAGAGGGACAGGCAGUACCAAUAUCAGUUGCCCCGAUACGGAAAACCAAAUAUACCAAAAAAUCCCCUCGCAGUGCACAGGGUGAUAAUGAACCAGGCCCCUCACGAGAGCAGGAGGAAGAGCCGGAGGUAACCAUCCGAUCUCUAUCCCUCAGUGAGUUGCGAGAUAUGCGGAAGGAUUUCAGCCGCAUUGCAGGCGAGCAAAUUUGCACCUGGCUGCUCCGGUGCUGGGAUAGUGGAGCUGCUGGUCUGGAAUUGGAGGGGAGAGAGGCCAAGCAGAUGGGACCUUUAGCUAAGCAGGCUGGUAUUGACAAGGCAAUAGGGAAACAGGCUCAAACCCUCAGCCUUUGGAGGCGACUCCUGCUCGGUGUGAGGGAGAGGUACCCCUACAAGGAUGAUGCUCUAUGUCGGUUAGGCAAGUGGACCGACAUGGAGAGAGGCAUUCAAAAUCUCAGGGAAAUGGCUGUGUUUGACAUUAUCUAUGGUGAUCUGAAUAAUGAGCAGUCACCAAUAGAUCCAGAUCAGGCCCCUUGCACACAGCUGAUGUGGCGGAAGUUCCUCCAAAGUGGACCAGAGGGACAUUCCAAAGCAUUAGCAGUAGCGUCCUGGUGGCGAGACACCCAGACAGUGGACGAAGUGAUUAACCAGCUCCGGCAAUAUGAGGGAAGUCUCCCUUCCGCCCAACAUGCUUUGGUUUCAGCCGUAGAGGAACUGUCUCAGAGGCUCCAGAAAGUGGAACAGGACAUGUCCUAUGUUCCACCUGCACGGGCCGAUGUCUCAGCUAUUAGAAGCAGGCGCUUCCCCACCCAAGAGAAGGGCAGUGGAAGGCACACACCACGGGGCACCCUGUGGUUCUUCCUCCGCGACCAUGGGGAAAACAUGAGAAGGUGGCAUGGACAGCCCACUUCCGCCCUAGCUGCACGAGUACAGCAACUGAAAGGGAAGACCGCCAUGAAAGGGGAGUCUUCCAAGAGAGAUGCAGCCCCAGUGUCUAGUAGGAAAUCCCCCAGACAGAACAGAAUGGCCAACACUAUGCUGGACCCUCUUGAGGGGACCAGGAAGUCAUUCUUGCAGGAGUCACUCUUAGAUCAAGUGAGUGAUGGUGAGCAGGAUUAGAGGGGCCCUGCCUCCAGCCAGGUGGAGGAGAGGGAUAAUCGGAUUUACUGGAAGGUGUGGAUCCGAUGGCCUGGCACAUCAGAACCACAAGAAUACAAGGCUUUGGUAGACACUGGCGCACAGUGCACCCUGAUGCCAUCAAGUCACAGUGGGGUCGAAUCCAUCUGCAUCUCCGGAGUGACAGGGGGGUCCCAACAGCUGACCCUAUUAGAGGCUGAAAUAAGCUUAACUGGGAAGGACUGGCAUAAGCACCCCAUUGUGACUGGCCCAGAUGCCCCGUGCAUCCUAGGUAUAGACUACCUCAGGAGAGGGUACUUUAAAGACCCAAAAGGGUACCGGUGGGCCUUUGGUAUAGCUGCCCUGGAGGAGGUUGAGCAAUUGUCCACCUUACCCGGCCUCUCAGAGGACCCCUCGGUGGUGGGGUCGCUUAAGGUUGAAGAGCAGCGAGUGCCAAUUGCCACCAAGACGGUGCACCGGCGGCAGUACCGUACCAACCGAGAUUCCCUGGUCCCCAUCCAUCAGCUGAUCCGUCGACUAGAAAGCCAGAAGGUGAUCAGCAAGACUCACUCACCUUUCAACAGCCCUAUAUGGC